rnacentral:rRNA from 1 species
CAAUAGCGUAUAUUUAAGUUGUUGCAGUUAAAAAGCUCGUAGUUGGAUUUCGGAUGGGAUUUGCCGGUCCGUCGUUACGAUGUGCACUGGCCAGUCCUAUCUUGUUGUCGGGGACUAGCUCCUUGGAUUCCCUUCCUGGGACUAGGAGCUGACGAGGUUACUUUGAGUAAAUUAGAGUGUUCAAAGCAAGCCUACGCUCUGAAUACAUUAGCAUGGAAUAACACGAUAGGACUCUGGCUUAUCUUGUUGGUCUGUGAGACCAGAGUAAUGAUUAAGAGGGACAGUCGGGGACAUUCGUAUUUCAUUGUCAGAGGUGAAAUUCUUGGAUUUAUGAAAGACGAACUUCUGCGAAAGCAUUUGUCAAGGAUGUUUUCAUUAA